GGGGCUGUAGCUCAGCGGUAGAGCACUUGCCUGGCAUGUGUGAGGCACUGGGUUUGAUUCUCAGCACCA
rnacentral:tRNA from 1 species